UGUAGCCAAACAUUUUAUAUAAUUAUAUUAAAAUAUUAAAAAAAUGAUCCGAAAAUAUUUUUCGAUAACAUUAAUAAUUCUAUUGUUAAACAUGUUUCAAAUAGUUCAAAAUUAUAAUGUAAAAAGUACUGUAAAAAAAGUAUUGUCAAAUUGCGAAUAUAUCGAUCAAAAUGAAGAAAAUUGUGUGUACAAACAACCCAAAACAAUUUAUGAAAAAUUCCAUACGAAAAGUUUUAAACCUUAUCCAAAGACAAAGGGGAUAAAAACUACUAAAGAUGGAAAAAUACCUUGGUAUGCCAAGGUAAUUCAAGAUCAAGAAAAUUUAAAUAAAAUCAAAGAAAAAAUUCAUUAGGCAAGAAAAAUCAAGUACUCAAAUUCCUAAAUCCUUAAUUUAAAAUUUUUUACGAGUUUUUUUUUUAACAGUAUUCUAUUUACGAAAAACAUUAAUAAAAAGUCGCAGUAUUACCAGGAAAAAGGUAAAGAUCAAAAUGUGAAAAGACUUGAUGUGACAAAUAGCUAACUUGUUGUGUUUUCACUAUGCAUUUUUUAUGGAAUCAUGAUUAAUAUGUUUGUAUAUAGUAUGAAUCGUUAUUAUUUAUAUUGGUAUAACAUAAUUUCAAUUCUACUGUUCUCGAUGAGUAAUAAUAAAUAACAAUGCUAAAAAAAUUGCAA